CAGUCGCCGCGGUAAUACGGAGGAUCCGAGCGUUAUCCGGAUUUAUUGGGUUUAAAGGGUGCGUAGGCGGCUUUUUAAAUCAGGGGUGAAAGACGGUAGCUUAACUAUCGCAGUGCCUUUGAUACUGAAGAGCUUGAAUGUACUUGAGGUAGGCGGAAUGUGACAAGUAGCGGUGAAAUGCAUAGAUAUGUCACAGAACACCAAUUGCGAAGGCAGCUUACUAAAGUAUGAUUGACGCUGAGGCACGAAAGCGUGGGGAUCAAACAGGAUUAGAUACCCCCGUAGUCCCUGUCUCUUAUAU
rnacentral:rRNA from 1 species